rnacentral:rRNA from 1 species
AUAAUGAUUAUUAUUAGUAGUUUAUGGUUAUAGAUUUUUUUUUAUAAAUAGAUUUUUUUUAGUUUGGAAAAAGUGAUUUUAAUGAUAGUUUAUUAGUACAGUGAUGGAAUUAAAUUUUUAUGUAUUUAAAAAAUUUUAAUUUAUUGGACCUUGGGUAUCAGGGUUUAUUAAAUAGUCUCUUUUUAGGAAAGAUUUCUCGAAUUUUAAAGAGCUAAAAUUAUGUUUAUUUUGAUGUUGAAUAAUCAUUUAUUAUAUAAUUUUGGAGGUGAAAUGGUAUUCGGUUUAUGAUAUAUCUAGUUUUUCAAGAAAUAAAUUUAAUUUUAUCAAUUAUUUAUUAAUUAUUAUUAUAAAUUUUUAAUUAUUGAUUGGUUUAUAUAAAUUGGGAUAAGCUUGUUUAUAUAUGUUUAUAAUUUUUUUAAUUUAUUAAUAAUUAUGUAGGAUUGAAAAUUUUUAUCUUUAGUUUGUUAGAAUAAACUUAUUAGUAUUGUGGAUUUUCUUGUAUUUAAGUUGUUUAUUGAAAUGAAAUUAUUAACUUUUAAUAAUUUUUAAUAAUGAUAUAAUUAGUAUAUUUUUUUGUAUAUAGUUUUUAUAAAGGCUAGUUAAAAUAAAGGAAUUAGGCAACUUUAGAUUCCGCCUGUUUAUUAAAAACAUGUCUUUUAGAUGAUAUUUUGAAGUCAGCUCUGCCCAAUGAAUGUUUAAUGGCCGCGGUAUUUUGACCGUGCAAAGGUAGCAUAAUAAUUAGUUUUUUAAUUGAAAACUGGAAUGAAUGAGUAAACGAGAUUCUGACUGUCUCUAUUUUAUUAAUAGAAUUUUAUUUUUAAGUUAAAAAGCUUAAAUUUUUUAAAAAGACGAGAAGACCCUAUAGAUUUUUAUAAUUAUGUUGAUUUUUUUAAAUUAGGAUUUAUUGAAAUUUUAAUUGAUUAUUUGAUUGGGGUGAUUGAAAAAUUUAUUUAACUUUUUUUUGUUUCUUUACAUUAAUUUAUGGCUGAUUGAUCCAUUUUUUUUGAUUAUAAGAUUAAAUUACCUUAGGGAUAACAGCGUUAUUUCUCCUGGAAGUUCGUAUUUAUGGAGAAGUUUGCGACCUCGAUGUUGGAUUAAAAUAAAUUUUUAAUGCAGAAGUUAAUUAAUUAAGUCUGUUCGACUUUUAAAUUUUUACAUGAUCUGAGUUUAAACCGGCGUGAGCCAGGUUGGUUUCUAUCUUUUAUAAUUAUAUAUUAAUUAGUACGAAAGGACCAUUAAUUGAGUAUUUUACUUUACUUUGAUUAAAAUU